UACGUAGGUGGCAAGCGUUGUCCGGAUUUACUGGGCGUAAAGGGCGUGCAGGCGGUUUGUUAAGUGCAGGGUGAAAGCUCCCGGCUCAACUGGGAGUGGUCCUUGCAUACUGGCAAACUCGAGGGAGGCAGAGGAAAGUGGAAUUCCCGGUGUAGUGGUGAUAUGCGUAGAUAGUCGGGAGGAACACCUGUGGCGAAGGCGGCUUUCGUGGGCCUUA
rnacentral:rRNA from 1 species